GUAUCUAGGCGUUCUUCUGCGUCGCCUUCGACCGGAUCCCUCUUUUCUGCUCGGAGGAGCUUGACGAGGGGGCGGGCUGCAGGUCACGCAGGACAUCUGCCAGUGGCCCACUGUAGGAUUUCUGCUGGGUUCUGGGAUCGCUGAUAACGCGUACGUGUAUCUUUGAAACAUGGCCUAGCUAUGAACUUACCCAGUGAUACACGAUCUGCAGUGGCUUCUCGAUUUAACCAGAAGGAGACCCAAGAUAGGACCACGAGUAAAACACAGGGCCCGUAUACUUGUAUAAGAAAAUUACCCAUGUGCCUCUGCAGAUGAAAAUAUACCAGCAGCAUCGAAUAUUCCGCUGUGAAAAUCUAGGGCAGUCCGAUAAACUGUGCUGUAUGGUUAUAGGUGAGCCACAAGAUUGGCAUUCAGGAGAUGAUUGUUUUGUUAACAACUACUCGUGCGUAAGUCUGGAAUGGUCGGUGCGAAUGCGGGUGAGGGCGGCUUAGUUCUGAUUAGUGCUGAGACGUUGGGUAUCUCUUGCACGCUAGAUCGUACUGUGCGAAGUUUUGUAUGGGGGUUGUUGAGCCAUAAACAGUCCUAAAAUUUUAGAAGCGGAAGUUAGGCCUGAUUUUUCUUCACGGUAAAUAAGUUUUGAUGCCCUCUUGAUUUCUAUAUGACUGGGAAUCUAUAUCAAUUUGAUGCUACACUGUUUAUUUCAAUGAUCGAAUGGAUUUCUAAAUAUUUAUGACGCUACGUGUUAAGGCGUUUUCGAUGGCUUGAGUUUUGCAGGAUAAAGAAGAGAAGGAAUAAUCUGCGUGUAGAAGUAAAAUCGUUUCUAACAAAUAUUUAUUAUAUUACCCUUAAUAUUUCGUUACAAUAUAAUGGUAAAUAUGUAGAACCUAAUCUGUCCUCUGUUCCUUGUUAUACUAUAAUCCACAUUUGUAAUCUAUCUUUUUUUAUGUUUCGAAUGAAAAAAAGAGAAAGAGGAUUACAAUUUCACUCAUAAAACUAAUAAAUCGAGUUAAUUCAAUAUUCCACGAUCCUUUUCGUUCGGUCCACCUUCACCUAUUGUUCGAUAUGUAUAUAAUAUUUAUCUUCCACUCGUUUCAAUUUUCAUCUGUAGUUGAGUUCCACAUCGAAUAUCAACAAGGUUCGACCGGAAUCGAAAUCAAACAGGGUCGCGAUCAUUAGUUUCUUCGGUUACGCACAAACCAUAUCCUAGCGUCCAACGUAGCAGCUAGUCGCUCUGUUUGCCUGCACUUUUUCCUCGAUAACGAGUACAAUGUACAAGGAACAAAUGGCAUCUGUUUCGAUUUGUCCAACGCAAACAGAAAUGAUACCAUGCAUACACGUGAAUGUUUGCACCACGUUCACGGAUCCUUAAAAAAUUUUUACUACCCUAUUGAUGCAAUCACAGUGACGACGCGACGAUUGUUUGUGGAGUAUUAAUCGAUGCUAAUCCAAUUAAAAGUGGAAGUCGUUGCGAGUCGGCGUCUCCCUUCUCGUUAUCAGCCGAUGGAAAUACAAGAGGGACGAGAGUUUUCUGCAGGAGGAUGCUGCAAUUAGUCGUCGUUUCUUCCGUUGCCAACUUUCAACGUGGAACCUCUUUUCUUCAUCCUCCUUCUCCUGUUUCAUCCCCUAUCCUCUUCCAUUGCUUCUCCUCCAUCUUUUCCUUUUUCUUUACGUCGUCGUUUUCUCGCACCACUUGUCGGUCCGCUCGAAUCCCACCCACUUCCGGGCUGAUUCAUUCGUACCUUCGAUAUUCCUAUAGAAUCCGUAAGCGUGGCCCGAUAAAAGUUUCCAAUCGAGAUCCUUUGCAGUCGUUAAGAGACAAUUCCUUCCUCUCGUUUCUCUAAUUCGAACAAGCCUCAGCCACCGACAUUCUUCGAUGACUCUUAUCGUGGCUAUACGUUUCUCUUUCGAUUAUACUUCCGUCGUCUAUCUUUUUCUUCCUCGGUUUGAUCCUUGAUACAUCGUGUCGUCGAUAAGGAUUUUUCGCUGAAAUCUAUUCUUAAAUGGAGUUUCCUUUUACGGGUUAUCGCCUGGCGUACAAGUACGGUUCUUUAGGUAGACAAUUCUGAAAAUAUUUUGAAAGAUGAGAAAGGACAGGUCGAAGAUGAAUGUUGAAGUAUUACGGAUAGAUUAUUGUCUGGUAUACGAGUAUUAUUAUGUCGUAUGAAGCGUGAUUUCUGAGGGAGGCGACUUGGAAAAUAUUUUUAAAGAUGAGGAAGGAUAGAUCGAAGGUGAAAGCUGAAAGUAUUAUGGGUAGGUUAUUGUGUGGAAUACAAAUGGUUGUCGUGUUAUACGAAGUACGAUUUUCGAAGGGGUCAAUUUUGAAAGUAUUUUUCAAAAUGAGAAUGGAUAGAUCGAAAGUUGAGGUAUUAAAGAUAUUCAAACUAUGAAACGGAGAUUGUUCGACCGUUCGCGGAGAGAUGUGUUCACGAUAGAUAGCGUCAAUGGAAAUCGUAAAUUUUCGUUACGAUUAGUUAAUUUUACAAAGGAGUUUAUUGAGCCCAGAAAAUACAGAGUGCGUUAUUCACAAUAAACAUGAAUUUUUGUAAUGGUAUAUUAGGCAAAGGUACCGAUACGCGGCGGUACAACGUAGCCAUGCUGUAUUAUGUGUCGGCGCUUUACAUUUUUUGUUGUAUGAUGCGGUUUUUAGGUUUAAGUCUCUGGGGAGCGGAGCUUUUUUUUUUUAUUUUUUUUCUGUCCUGAAAAAACUUGGUCGUAAAACAGGACGUUUUCGUUACGAUUAGUUAAUCGACGCCACGAAAUGAUCGAUCCCUAUUUCGUUUAGGACAAUAGAGAUGGUUGAACUGAUUAUAACACUGAGGUAAAAGGUUACAAUAUACACUUUAUUCCAAUAACUUCUUGGAAAUAACAUUCAAUAUUCCAGUUGAUAUGUUGACAGACAGAAUACAAGUUAAGACAAAAUACAGUGAGUACAGUGACGGAUCAGAGAACAAACAGAAAACUAACUAAAAACUCCUGUUCUGUGGAGGUAUUUAUACUGAACCGGGGAAGGUUAUUUACGAGUGAAAAUUCUAGGAAAAAAUGGGAAAACCCACGUUUCCCUAUUUGCCUUUGGAUUAUUGCAGUCCGACCUGUGAUGUUUGCACCGCUAGUGGCCAUCCCGACCGAGAGAUGGAAUUCAGCCCGUACCAGAUAACGGGACGUAACAUCCUCUCCCCGUUGAGAGGCUACCGAUUGUGAACAUAGAGUUAAUUACAUCUUCCACCAAACUCCCUCUCGAUUGAUUCUGCUGAAUCGGAUUGGCUCGGUAGGGGAACGAAACGUUUGACACCUCAAUCCAAGAUGCUGGUUGCCGUCUUAACCGUGGCCGUCCGGAUGAUGUCGUCGGCGUCUAGAUGAACCUUGAUUUUAUUAUUUAUUUAUUUGAAUUUUACAAUUUGUCCAGUAGGACAUUUGGUAAAAUAUUAUAGCGGUAUACUAGUAUAACAUGUGGGUGGCUACCCCCAGCGGGGUACCAUCAUCGUGUUUGUUAGGUUAUGUCCUUGUGAGAUCUGUUGGGUGUUUCCUUUUUAAUCUUCUUUUUAUGCUUGAUGUGUCGACCGUUUCCGCUGCCAGCCGGUUUGGGUGCGUUGCUAUUCUUUCUCUGUACCUUCUUGCACUUCUGUUAAUCUCCUCCUUGACCGUUGGUAUUCCCAGGUCUUUCCGAAUGUCCUCGUUUCUAACGUACGAUUUCAUUGACGAGUCUGUGCGUUUGUUCUAUUGUGGAGUGUUUGUUUUAAAUCCGAAUUGGUGAUCCGGUAUUGAUUCUUCUCUAUUAUGGGUUUUAUCCGGUCGUAAAUUAUUUUCUCUAGUAUCUUAGAGAACACCGGAAGUAGUGAGAUUGGUCGGUAGGAUUUGGUUUCGUGUGGGUCCUUGCCUGGUUUGGGUAUCAUUAUGAUUUGUGCCAGUUUCCAAGUUUUUGGAAAGUAUUGUUUCUUAGUAUUGCGUUAACUAUUAUUGUGAUUUGUCUUAUCGCUUUUGGCGGAAGGUUUUUCAACAUUUUGCCGUUAAUUAGAUCGAUUCCUGGUGCUUUAUUAUUUUUUGUUUUCUCAAUUAUGUUUCUGAUUUCUUGUGCUGUUGCUUUGGGUAUGGUGUAGUGAUUGUCAGUUGGUGUACUAUUGUGGUUGCUGUUGUUGAUGUUAUGUGGGGUGAAUGUGUUGCAUAGGUGGUUGGAAAAUUCUUCAGCUUGCUCUUCGUUGCUUCUUGCCCAUGUGUUGUCUGCUCUUCUGAUUGCUGGUACCAUUUUUAUUGUCUUCUUUAUUUUUUUUGUGGCUUUCCAUAGGGAGUAGUUGUAGUUCUCGUGAGCAGAUAGUGACUCGAUGAACUUUGUGAACUCGUUGUUGUUGUGCUCUUUUAUUUUGUUUUUUAUUUCUUUUGUGAGUUUGUUUAGGUGUUUUUUGUUUUCUUUUGUUCUGUGUUUUUGCCAUUUUGCUUUCGCUUUUCUUUUUUCUCUAAUUUUUUCGAGGAUGUCUAGUGGAACUGUUUUUGUUUGUCUGUUGGUUGUUUCAGGUAUAGUGGUUGCCCUUGCUGCUUCUUGGAUAGUUUCUGUGAAUGUUGUUACUGCUUGAUCGAUGUGUUCAGGUGUUUUCAAUGGGAUGUUGCAGCUAAUUUUGCUCUCUAUUAUUUCUUUGAAUAUUUGCCAUUUGGUGGUUUUAUUGCGUAGCCUCUCUGUGCUGCUGUAAAGUAUUGGUUUGUUUCUAUAUGUAAUUAUUAUGGGCGUAUGGUCGGAGGUAAGCUCGAGGCUGGGUGCUAUGUUUAGUUUAUUUGCGU